rnacentral:rRNA from 1 species
UACGUAGGGACCGAGCGUUGUCCGGAUUCAUUGGGCGUAAAGAGCUCGUAGGCGGCUUGUCGCGUCGUCCGUGAAAACCCACAGCUCAACUGUGGGCUUGCGGUCGAUACGGGCAGGCUAGAGUUCGGUAGGGGAGACUGGAAUUCCUGGUGUAGCGGUGAAAUGCGCAGAUAUCAGGAGGAACACCGAUGGCGAAGGCAGGUCUCUGGGCCGAUACUGACGCUGAGGAGCGAAAGCGUGGGGAGCGAACAGG